rnacentral:rRNA from 1 species
CCUACGGGAGGCAGCAGUGGGGAAUUUUGGACAAUGGGGGAAACCCUGAUCCAGCAAUGCCGCGUGAGUGAAGAAGGCCUUCGGGUUGUAAAGCUCUUUUGUCAGGGAAGAAACACCGGCUCUAACACAGUCCGGGAAUGACGGUACCUGAAGAAUAAGCACCGGCUAACUACGUGCCAGCAGCCGCGGUAAUACGUAGGGUGCAAGCGUUAAUCGGAAUUACUGGGCGUAAAGCGUGCGCAGGCGGUUAUACAAGACAGGCGUGAAAUCCCCGGGCUUAACCUGGGAAUGGCGCCUGUGACUGUAUAGCUAGAGUGUGUCAGAGGGGGGUAGAAUUCCACGUGUAGCAGUGAAAUGCGUAGAUAUGUGGAGGAAUACCAAUGGCGAAGGCAGCCCCCUGGGAUAACACUGACGCUCAUGCACGAAAGCAUGGGGAGCAAACAGGAUUAGAUACCCUGGUAGUCCACGCCCUAAACGAUGCUGACUAGUUGUUCGGGAUUUACAUCCUGAGUAACGUAGCUAACGCGUGAAGUCAGCCGCCUUGGGGAUACGGUGCAAAGAUUUAAAAACCNCGAAAAGGAAUUGACCGGNNGAGAGAGCGAGACGACACGAGGGAGGAGG